GGCGGGGCUGCGGGUGAGCCUGGCGCGGGUUGGGGCUCCUCGGCCUGCCCUGGGCAGCCGCCCGCUGUCGUGGCGAUGCUCGGUCCAGCGCUCUCGACAGCCCGGCACUGAUUGAAACCGGGGACUAGUUACAGCAGGCUCCAGGAUGGUGUCCCCGCGGGGCCAGUGGCUCGGGUGGGGAAAGUACACCAGCAGCAGAUGGCUGGCGAAAAUGCGGGGGUAAACACAGCGUGGUGCUGCUGUCAGCUUGCUGGGCACCCAAUUUGUCACCACCAAUUUGUCUUGCAGGGACUUCUUGAGGAAAAGAUGGAGUCUACGCAGCUAAUUAUUAUUAUAUAAUGUGGAUGUCUUAUCUGUGAACGUGUCUGGUUGCCCCUUCUGAUCACGGACAGUUUUAGUGUGCACAAGGCACUUCAUAAGUUUUCAAAGAUAUUUCUGCCCCGGUUGUAUAUUUUGUGAAGAAACACAUUUUCUUUAAAACUUGCCCUUGCUACUUUCAUUUUAUAAGCCUUUGUGCUCGCACUGAUACAGACUGUAGCCACUCACAGUGUCCAGACUACUCACUUUAUGGAUCUCACUUUAAGGAUCUCUCUACAAUUCCCUGAAAGGAGGUUGUAGUCAGGUGGGGGUUGGUCUCUUCUCCCAGGCAACCAGCAGUAGGACAAGAGGGCAUGAUCUUAAGCUGUGCCAGGGGAGGUUUAGGUUAGACAUUAAGAAGAAGUUCUUUACAGAGGGAGUGACUGGGCAUUGGAACGGGCUGCUCAGGGAGGUGGUAGAGUCACCCUCCUUUGAGAUGUUUAAGAAAAGACUGGAUGUGGCAUUUAGUGCCGUGGUCUAGUUGACAAGGUGGUGUUAAGUCAUAGGUUGGACUCAAGGAUCUCAGAGGUCUUUUCCAACCUAGGUGAUUCUGUGAUUCUGUGACAACCUUUUGUGUUCUGGAUACUCCUUGACCAAUUAGUUGCACUUGGUUAGUCUUUGGUAAUCUUUGUUAGCGUAUCUAACCUUUUUCAGCUGUAUCAUUUCUGAAAUGUGAAGGAUCAGAAUGACACACUGUUCAAGCAUGUCUAAAGUAUGAGUUUCCAAAGCAUCAUUUUUAUUAUCUGUCAUGUUCUCUAUUCAUCUGCUAAUGUUUCUUAACCUUCUAUUCUAUUUGAACAACCUUGAACCUUGAGCUAAUGUUAGUGAGGAUACUGAAAAGGAUCAAAGCUGUAAUGGGGGUUUGAAAGACAGCAACAUUGUAUUCUCUCCAGGUUGUAAUUGUUCCUUGGGUACUAUUUAAGAGAAGCCACGAUUGUCACCCUGAACAGCUGCCAUAGCUCUGCCUCUCUUGAAAACAUGUAGAAGUGCCAAGGGGUGAAAACUGCUCUUGAGGUAUGAGCUUCUUCAGGCUGUUCCGAGUCUUUGAUCUCAGUUUCUGUGACUUUUCUUGGGUAUCUUUUUGUAGAAAAAAUACCCAAAUUGAAAGCUCCCACCCAGAGCAUUUACGUUCAUCACUUGCAUUCAUUUGUUCUUGUUUUACACAGAUACACACAUUAAACGAACUGGACAACUAUGAAAAACAAGCCUUAAACUUGCUGGUUUCAGUAAGGCUGUACACAAAAAUGGUGCAGAACUUAGUAAUGUGUAAUUCUGUGUUGAAGGGCGGAGCUCCUUAUCAGCUUUGCACGUUGCUGAUUGGGAUGGUCCAGUUUUCCCCAAGACAUCCCUGCUGCAGGUUACUGCGGCUACCUUUGCAUCAUAUCGAAGUGAUCACAUGGUUAUAAGGUGAAAUCUCAUAAUUUUUGAUGGGCUUUCUUCUGGUUGGGUGGUUUGGUAGUUUGGUAUGGUUUGGUGAAUGGAACCCACUCAGUAUAGAGACGUGAUUGCCUUAUACAGCAACACAAGUCUGCAGGUAUGAGAGUAGGAGCUGGUCCACCUCUUUCACAGUUAUCUCACGGAUACACCUUAUGUGAAAUCUAAACCUCUGCAGCACUGGGCCUUAGAUCAGCUCAUCAAGAGAUCUACUUUGCGUCUUGGUAGUUUGCAGUACUAAUAUGAAUCACAGCCAUGACCUACAUUGGCUUCCAGUCAUAAUGCUUACUUGAGCUAGGACUUCCUUUUGGAAGCUGUAAUCUAAAAGGAACACAGCACUGACCACAGGUAUCUGGCUUCUCCAUCAAGUAGAACUCAGAAGCAUCAUACCAUUUGCUUUUUAUGUGGCCCUUCUUUUCCAGAACUAGGAUUAGAGUACUUAAAUCCUGUUUACUAGACUAUGUGCCAUAUCAAGUCAUUUUGGAAAUUACCAAAAACCAUAUCUGGUUUUGAACACUGAAAAAAAGAGUUCUUAGUUACUAAUUUUCAUCAUCAUUAUAAGGUCCAUGAGUUUUACAGAAUAAAUCUUACCCUUCACCUGUUUUCAUUAAGUAUAUAUCAUUCUUAGUGCUCCAGCAAUUGUUUACACAGAAGAAUAACACUAGAAAAGACUAAAUACUUUCAUGCAUGCUUAAUUGUAUUUAACUGAUUGUGGUCACAGUACGAUUUAUUUUUGAUAGCAGCUGCUUUGCUAUUCCUUAUUUCACAUUCCCAAUUUACAUGUCUUAUUUUUUCUCUCCCUGCCUACUCUCCAGUACAUAUUCCUCUGCAAUCUGGUCCCUUUCGCAGUCUGCUGCAUGCACUUUCUUGCAUUUCCUUUUCACAUUACUUUGCAGUAUGCAUUCAUGACCUUAGCUCAAUGAUUCUCUGAAACUUUAAAUAUUCCAUGCUUCUGGGGAAAGAAAAAGGAGUUUCUUCCACUAGAGCGAGGCCUUUUAAGAUUAGGUAAUGCUGGAUUAAUGCUAGUGUCUUAGACAAAACAAUGUAGUAAUAACUAAUUAUGUGUUGAACUCAAGUCCUGUCAUGAAUUCCACACAGGUCCUUGUGGAUCUGUUCAGAUACAGUGGCCUUGGUUGUAUAAAGGUCUGCUGCUGGAUGGUAAUGUUACUGGGGGUGAAAUGCACAGGGAAAAAAAAUGGAUGUGUGCCCUCACAGAUUUUGAAUAAAUACAUAUUAAUUUUUACAUAAAUCUUAUACAUAAAUUAUCCACAACUGAAUUCAGUAAGAUACAAAUAUAAUGGAUACUCUGACAGCUAACAAAGUGAGGAAGCACAUUGUUUUUCUGUUUGAAGCAAUAAGGAGGACAGAGUACUUAAGUAUUUGAUUCUAGACCCAUUCCUUUCUUAUUCCCUGUUCCAGAAAAGAAUCCCAGCCUUAGCAUGUCCUCAUAAGCUUUCUGCCCAAAUCCUUUAGAAGCUAUAACUUCUAAUAUCUUCGAUAAGAGUUAAUGUUCUUACAAACUUAAUUUUUGUCCUUUUUGUAGAUGUCUUCCUAACCUGUUUGUCAAUUAGAAAUACCAGUAAGAACUUAUUUCAAUGUCCUCUUUGGCUAAACCUAAUACAGACUUCUUCUAAUGUGACCACCUCAGUAUGGGUGCAUGAUCCCUUAAAGAUGCUAAUAAAACACCAGGUAUGUAUGCAGUUACAUUGACUUUUACCAGGGUUCUUUAUUCCAUUUGUAGGACCAUGUAACUUGUGGAACUAUCUUGCUAGCAAGCAGAGCUCUGCUGGCAUAGCUUCAUUUUCAGUGGAUGUACUUCACUGAUGGUUAGUAUCAGGGUUUCUAUAUCAGCAAAUACUUUUAGUGUCAAUACAUCUGAAGAACCAUGUGAUCCUAAGUAAGCGCUGGCCACAUUUGUUUGAAACUUAAUAAACAAGUGGGAAAGGACCAAGAGUUGUUACAGGGAUAGCGUAAAACAAUAGGGAUAGCCUGAAACACAAUAGGGAAUUUCCUCAGUAAAUGCAGUAAUUCAGAUUGUUGCAGCAUAAACAAAAAAGACAGCUGUUUCAUCAUAGUUAGGAAACAUAGCCCAUCUCCUUUCCAAACUACAUAUACACACCCCCACACAUAUAUAAAUAAGCUUUUUCUCUGAAAGCUCUUUUCUAAGAAGAGGUCUUGCAUCAAGCAGAAUCCUGUAAAAAUCCAGACAUUGUAUUUAAAGGAUGUGUUUUCUCAUAGUUAGAGACACAAGCUGUUUUGCCAUAAUCACAUGAUGCAGUUUGGAUGCAGUUCAUUUUUGUUUCAGCUGUUUAUAAUUCCUUUUGGAAUUACUGAAGUACAAAGACAUAAUUUUUGGGAAAAAAAUAUAGAAUGCUGCCCUAUUUGUGUUUCUUUCUGAUCUUCUGCAUCACAGAAGUUAACUGAACCAAUAUUGAACAUUUGGCUCUGAAGCCAAAGCAACACUGCAAGAAAAAGAGAGAAGUCACAGGUCAGCAUUACUUGUGAUGGGGCCCUGCUCUCCUGGAGAUGGCUGAACACCUGCCAGCCCAUGGGAAGGAGUGAAUCAAUUCCUUGUUCUGCUUAGCUUGCGUGCACAGCUCUUGCUUUCCCUAUUAAACUGGUUUUAUAUCAACUCACAA